UCCACAUAUCGCCGCCACCUCUCCUCUAGGACCGACAAAGUCCACCGGUCCUAACCUCCUGACCCCGCCUUGCCGUGGGCGCUGGCGUUGGGGAGAUCUGCUCCGUUGUUAUUCCUCCACAGCAUCCACCUAGCACGACGGUUCGACGAGCAGGGUCGUCACCGGAUCCGGCGAAUCCAAGAAUGACCGCCACCGGAUCUGGUGAGUCAUGAAGCCCACGACCAUAUGCGUCCACCCCCGAAUGGACAACUCCCCUGCUUGUGUGAUAUAUUGAACUGUUAUAUUUGAUGGAAAUGAAGGUGUCUAAUUGAAAUCGAUGGGAAGAUCUAUAGCAGAUUGUGUGAUAUAUGUGAUAUUGUUGUACCGAAAUCGAAAUAGAUAUGUAGAUAUGUCAAACUGCUAUAUCUGAUGUGAAAUGCGGAUUUGUGAAACUAACAUUCGUGAUGUGAAACAGAAUUGUAAUUGGAAAGUAUUUUUUUGUUGAAAUGCAUUUUUUUCAGAAAUUGGAAUGCAUGUUUCUCUUUAUGAAACUGUUGUCUCUUCAUUAUGUGAAUGAGAACUUGGGGGUUCAUUUUUUUUUUGAAAUGGUUUAUGUCAGUACUUUGAAAUAAUGAGUUUCACUCUUUUGUGCAAUAAGAUACCCGAAUAACAGAAAUAUACUUCGUUCAUUUAGAAGUGAAAAAAUAGUGAAACUGGUAUGUGUAUGAAAUAUUUCUCUUAUUAAAAUUAAAAAAUUAUGAAAUUACUUGUCUGAAAUAUUUGAAAUUGGUAUUUUCUAAGUGUGUCUUUUGUUAUUUCAGUGUGAUAUGUAUUGCAAAAGUUGUCGAGAUAUAAAUUGAAAUUGUUUGUGUCACAUUAGCUACAAUGGAUUUCACUCUUUUUGAGUAAAAAUGAAUUUGGAGUAGCUAAAAUCACCUUUUUUCUAAGAAAUUGAAAUUGUUUAUGUCACCCAUUUGAAUAAUCAGUUUCACUUAUUUGUGACAAUAUAUGAAAUUACUUGUCUGAAAUAUAUGAAAUUAGUAUUUCUUAUAUGUGUAAUUUGUUAUAUCAGUGUGAUUUGUAUUGAACAAGUUAUGGUAAUAUAAAUUGAAAUUGUUUGUGUCAA